AUUCUUCGGAUGAAGAGGUUUGUGACUGAGUGGCGGACGGGUGAGUAACGCGUGGGUAACCUGCCUCAUACAGGGGGAUAACAGUUAGAAAUGACUGCUAAUACCGCAUAAGCCCACGGUACCGCAUGAUACUGAGGGAAAAGGAUUUAUUCGCUUCAGGAUGGACUCGCGUCCAAUUAGCUAGUUGGUGAGGUAACGGCCCACCAAGGCGACGAUGCGUAGCCGACCUGAGAGGGUGAUCGGCCACAUUGGGACUGAGACACGGCCCAAACUCC
rnacentral:rRNA from 1 species